rnacentral:rRNA from 1 species
GACGAACGCUGGCGGCGUGCCUAACACAUGCAAGUCGAACGGAAAGGCCCUGCUUUUGUGGGGUUCUCGAGUGGCGAACGGGUGAGUAACACGUGUGUAUCCUGCCCUUGACUUUGGUAUAACUUCAGGAAACUGGGGCUAAUACCGGAUAGGAUCUCCUGCUCCAUGGUGGGCGUUGGAAAGUUUCGGCGGUUGGGGAUGGACUCGCGGCUUAUCAGCUUGUUGGUGGGGUAGUGGCUUACCAAGGCUUUGACGGGUAGCCGGCCUGAGAGGGUGACCGGCCACAUUGGGACUGAGAGACGGCCCAGACUCGUACGGGAGGCAGAAGUGGGGAAUAUUGCACAAUGGGCGGAAGCCUGAUGCAGAAACGCCGCGGGCGGGAUGACGGCCUUCGGGUUGUAAACCGCUUUCGCCUGUGACGAAGCGUGAGUGACGGUAAUGGGUAAAGAAGCACCGGCUAACUACGUG